rnacentral:rRNA from 1 species
GUGCCAGCAGCCGCGGUAAUACGUAGGUGGCAAGCGUUGUCCGGAUUUAUUGGGCGUAAAGCGAGCGCAGGCGGUUUCUUAAGUCUGAUGUGAAAGCCUUCGGCUCAACCGAAGAAGUGCAUCGGAAACUGGGAAACUUGAGUGCAGAAGAGGACAGUGGAACUCCAUGUGUAGCGGUGAAAUGCGUAGAUAUAUGGAAGAACACCAGUGGCGAAGGCGGCUGUCUGGUCUGUAACUGACGCUGAGGCUCGAAAGCAUGGGUAGCAAACAGGAUUAGAUACCCUGGUAGUCCAUGCCGUAAACGGUGAGUGCUAGGUGUUGGAGGGUUUCCGCCCUUCAGUGCCGCAGCUAACGCAUUAAGCACUCCGCCUGGGGAGUACGACCGCAAGGUUGAAACUCAAAGGAAUUGACGGGGGCCCGCACAAGCGGUGGAGCAUGUGGUUUAAUUCGAAGCAACGCGAAGAACCUUACCAGGUCUUGACAUCCUUUGACCACUCUAGAGAUAGAGCUUUCCCUUCGGGGACAAAGUGACAGGUGGUGCAUGGUUGUCGUCAGCUCGUGUCGUGAGAUGUUGGGUUAAGUCCCGCAACGAGCGCAACCCUUAUUACUAGUUGCCAGCAUUUAGUUGGGCACUCUAGUGAGACUGCCGGUGACAAACCGGAGGAAGGUGGGGACGACGUCAAAUCAUCAUGCCCCUUAUGACCUGGGCUACACACGUGCUACAAUGGAUGGUACAACGAGUUGCGAGACCGCGAGGUUUAGCUAAUCUCUUAAAACCAUUCUCAGUUCGGAUUGUAGGCUGCAACUCGCCUACAUGAAGCCGGAAUCGCUAGUAAUCGCGGAUCAGCAUGCCGCGGUGAAUACGUUCCCGGGCCUUGUACACACCGCCCGU